CCUACGGGGGGCUGCAGUGGGGAAUAUUGCACAAUGGGCGCAAGCCUGAUGCAGCCAUGCCGCGUGUGUGAAGAAGGCCUUCGGGUUGUAAAGCACUUUCAGCGGGGAGGAAGGCGGUGAGGUUAAUAACCUCAUCGAUUGACGUUACCCGCAGAAGAAGCACCGGCUAACUCCGUGCCAGCAGCCGCGGUAAUACGGAGGGUGCAAGCGUUAAUCGGAAUUACUGGGCGUAAAGCGCACGCAGGCGGUCUGUCAAGUCGGAUGUGAAAUCCCCGGGCUCAACCUGGGAACUGCAUUCGAAACUGGCAGGCUAGAGUCUUGUAGAGGGGGGUAGAAUUCCAGGUGUAGCGGUGAAAUGCGUAGAGAUCUGGAGGAAUACCGGUGGCGAAGGUGGCCCCCUGGACAAAGACUGACGCUCAGGUGCGAAAGCGUGGGGAGCAAACAGGAUUAGAUACCCGUGUAGUC
rnacentral:rRNA from 1 species